CAUGCAAGUCGUACGAGAAAGUCCGCUUCGGUGGAUCAGUAAAGUGGCGCACGGGUGAGUAACGCGUGGAUAAUCUACCCCUCAGUUGGGAAUAACGUACCGAAAGGUGCGCUAAUACCGAAUGACACUGCACAUCUUCUGUUGUGUAGUCAAAGAUGGCCUCUGCUUGCAAGCUUUCGCUGAAGGAUGAGCCCGCGUACCAUUAGCUAGUUGGUAGGGUAAUGGCCUACCAAGGCGACGAUGGUUAGCUGGUCUGAGAGGAUGAUCAGCCACACUGGAACUGAGACACGGUCCAGACUCCUACGGGAGGCAGCAGUGAGGAAUAUUGCGCAAUGGGGGCAACCCUGACGCAGCAACGCCGCGUGAGUGAGGAAGGUUUUCGGACCGUAAAGCUCUGUCGAGCGGGAAGAAAUGCAUGGUGGCUAAUAUCCAUCAUGCUUGACGGUACCGCUAAAGGAAGCACCGGCUAACUCCGUGCCAGCAGCCGCGGUAAUACGGGGGGUGCUAGCGUUGUUCGGAAUCAUUGGGCGUAAAGAGCGUGUAGGCGGCUGGAUAAGUCAGAUGUGAAAGCCCUGGGCUUAACCCAGGAAGUGCAUUUGAAACUGUUCAGCUAGAGUAAGGGAGAGGAAAGUGGAAUUCCUGGUGUAGAGGUGAAAUUCGUAGAUAUCAGGAGGAACACCGGUGGCGAAGGCGACUUUCUGGCCCUAUACUGACGCUGAGACGCGAGAGCGUGGGUAGCAAACAGGAUUAGAUACCCUGGUAGUCCACGCUGUAAACGAUGUUCACUAGGUGUUGGGGGUAUUGACCCUCUCAGUGCCGCAGCUAACGCAUUAAGUGAACCGCCUGGGGAGUACGGUCGCAAGAUUAAAACUCAAAGGAAUUGACGGGGGCCCGCA
rnacentral:rRNA from 1 species